UUGACGGGCCCGCACAAGCAGCGGAGCGUGUGGUUUAAUUCGAUGUUACACGAAGAACCUUACCAGGGUUUGACAUGCAAGUGGUAGGAAGCCGAAAGGUGACCGACCCUUCGGGGAGCUUGCACAGGUGCUGUAUGGCUGUCGUCAGCUCGUGUCGUGAGAUGUUCGGUUAAGUCCGCUAACGAGCGCAACCCUCGCUGUGUGUUAUAUGUGUCACACGGGACUGCCGGUCUUAAGCCGGAGGAAGGUGGGGAUGAUGUCAAGUCAGCAUGGCCUUUAUAUCCUGGGCUACACACACGCUACAAUGGCCAACACAAUAGGUUGCUAAGCCGCGAGGUGGCGCCAAUCCAUAAAGUUGGUCUCAGUUCAGAUUGUAGGCUGCAACCCGCCUGCAUGAAGAUGGAGUUGCUAGUAACCGCAGGUCAGCUAUACUGCGGUGAAUACGUUCCCGGGGCUU
rnacentral:rRNA from 1 species